UACGGGGGGUGCGAGCGUUGUCCGGAAUUACUGGGCGUAAAGGGCGCGUAGGCGGUUCGUUAAGUCCUGUGUGAAAUCCCCCGGCUCAACUGGGGAACUGCACAGGAAACUAGCGGGCUUGAGUUCGGGAGAGGGAAGCGGAAUUCCGGGUGUAGCGGUGAAAUGCGUAGAUAUCCGGAGGAACACCGGUGGCGAAGGCGGCUUCCUGGACCGACACUGACGCUGAGGCGCGAAAGCUAGGGGAGCAAACGGG
rnacentral:rRNA from 1 species